rnacentral:lncRNA from 1 species
UGACUAGCCCAGCUAUGGAGCUCGGUCUACACCGCCACGUCGAGACUCUCUUUCGAAAGUGAGAUACCGGCUUUCAUAAGAGGGAAAGAUCACUCCGUCAUGCAGCAGAGCAGUGUUCAUCUAACUAGAAAUUUCAUAAGAGAAGUCGAGACUCUCUUUCGAAAGUGAGAUACCGGCUUUCAUAAGAGGGAAAGAUCACUCAGUCAUGCAGUAGAGCAGUGUUCAUCUUACUAGAAAUUUCAUAUGAGAAGAAGAAUCGAAGCGUAGGGUCGACAUAAACAAUCGGUUAAAAUAGUCUAAUGAGAAAGCAUUUGUUCAUG